GUCUAUGGCCAUGCUACAAUGAACAAGCCCGAUCCCGUCUGAUCUCAGAAGCUAAGCAGGGUCAGGCCUGGUAAGUACUUGGAUGGGAAACCACCUAGGAAGACCAGGUGCUGUAGGCG
rnacentral:rRNA from 1 species